GGCUUGAUGGCGUAAUGGUAACGCACUCUGUAAAUAUGCACAUUUUUAUAUCGAUUUGACGGAAAGUCCGGAGUUCAAUUCUCCGUCAAGCCG